rnacentral:rRNA from 1 species
AUGCAGGUGGAGUACAGGGCCUUGAUGGAGAACCGGACGUGGACUCUCGUCCCACGCCGGCCGGGGGCCAACAUAGUCACUGGCAAGUGGCUCUUCCGCCACAAACUCAAGGCCGACGGCACGCUGGAGCGGUACAAGGCACGCUGGGUCGUGCGUGGCUUCUCGCAACGGCCCGGUGUUGACUUCGACGAGACGUACUUGCCCGUCGUCAAGGCGGCCACCAUCCGCGUCGUGCUCACCAUCGCCGCUGCUCGCAAGUGGCCAGUUCACCAUAUGGACGUGAACAAUGCGUUCCUCCAUGGACGCCUCGCCGAGCGUGUCUACUGCCAACAGCCGGUCGGGUUCGUCGACGCCAGCCGCCCCGACCACGUGUGCCUCCUCGACAAGUCCCUCUACGGCUUGAAGCAGGCACCACGUGCCUGGUUUGCGCGCUUU